rnacentral:rRNA from 1 species
UACGUAGGGGGCGAGCGUUGUCCGGAUUCAUUGGGCGUAAAGAGCGUGUAGGCGGCUUGGUAGGUCUCGCGUCAAACGCUGCGGCUCAACCGCAGCUCGCGUGGGAAACCACCUAGCUAGAGUCCGGAAGAGGAGAACGGAAUUCCCGGUGUAGCGGUGAAAUGCGCAGAUAUCGGGAAGAACACCAGUGGCGAAGGCGGUUCUCUGGGACGGUACUGACGCUGAGACGCGAAAGCGUGGGGAGCGAACAGG